AGAACGAACGCUGGCGGCAUGCCUAACACAUGCAAGUCGAACGUGAUCCGGGGCUUGCUCCGGUGAAAGUGGCGGACGGGUGAGUAACGCGUGGGAACCUGCCCAGUGGUCGGGGAUAACUGCGGGAAACUGCAGCUAAUACCCGGUAAGCCCUAUGGGGGAAAGAUUUAUCGCCAUUGGAGGGGCCCGCGUCGGAUUAGGUAGUUGGUGGGGUAAAGGCCUACCAAGCCUACGAUCCGUAGCUGGUCUGAGAGGAUGAUCAGCCACACUGGGACUGAGAUACGGCCCAGACUCCUACGGGAGGCAGCAGUGGGGAAUAUUGGGCAAUGGGCGCAAGCCUGAUCCAGCAAUGCCGCGUGAGUGAAGAAGGCCUUAGGGUUGUAAAGCUCUUUCGGCGGGGACGAUGAUGACGGUACCCGCAGAAGAAGCCCCGGCUAACUCCGUGCCAGCAGCCGCGGUAAUACGGAGGGGGCUAGCGUUGUUCGGAAUUACUGGGCGUAAAGGGCGCGUAGGCGGCGCGAUAAGUUGGGCGUGAAAGGCCCGGGCUCAACCCGGGGACUGCGCUUGAUACUGUCGCGCUGUGAGUCCGGGAGAGGAUGGCGGAAUUCCCAGUGUAGAGGUGAAAUUCGUAGAUAUUGGGAAGAACACCGGUGGCGAAGGCGGCCAUCUGGACCGGCACUGACGCUGAGGCGCGAAAGCGUGGGGAGCAAACAGGAUUAGAUACCCUGGUAGUCCACGCCGUAAACGAUGCGUGCUAGACGUUGGGGGGCUUGCCCUUCGGUGUCGUCGCUAACGCAUGAAGCACGCCGCCUGGGGAGUACGGUCGCAAGAUUAAA
rnacentral:rRNA from 1 species